UCAAGCCUAUGAUGAGAGAAGUUAUCCCUGUCUGAAAAUGUGUGGAGUUUUGGUAGCCUGAGGCUUGU
rnacentral:snoRNA from 1 species